CUUCUCUGGGAGCAUCGUCAAAAAAGUGCUGAGGCUCCUCCGCCAGAUGGGCGUGCCCUGUUUCUCGUACGAGACAUACUUCAAGAUUCAGGGUGCCUUCCUUCUACCAGCAAUCAGACAGGUCGCUCUUGAGAAGGCAGCUCCUCGGCAGCCAAACUGUGCUUGUUGAAUGCUACGAGGGGAACAAGACCUGAACAGGCAGGGGUCUAUGCGACCUAAACUUCCAGGUGUGGAACAGGAAACAAAACGAGCUCUUUGAGCAAGCAAGUGGACGAGAACUGGUCCUCGCUGGUGAUGGGCGGUCAGACUCCC